UGCAGUCGAGCGCGCCCUUCGGGGUGAGCGGCGGACGGGUUAGUAACGCGUGGGAAUAUACCCUUUGGUACGGAAUAGCCUCUGGAAACGGAGAGUAAUACCGUAUGUGCCCUUCGGGGGAAAGAUUUAUCGCCAAAGGAUUAGCCCGCGUUAGAUUAGGUAGUUGGUGGGGUAAUGGCCUACCAAGCCUACGAUCUAUAGCUGGUUUUAGAGGAUGAUCAGCAACACUGGGACUGAGACACGGCCCAGACUCCUACGGGAGGCAGCAGUGGGGAAUCUUGGACAAUGGGGGCAACCCUGAUCCAGCCAUGCCGCGUGAGUGAUGAAGGCCUUAGGGUCGUAAAGCUCUUUCGCCUGUGAAGAUAAUGACGGUAGCAGGUAAAGAAACCCCGGCUAACUCCGUGCCAGCAGCCGCGGUAAUACGGAGGGGGUUAGCGUUGUUCGGAAUUACUGGGCGUAAAGCGCACGUAGGCGGAUCGGAAAGUUGGGGGUGAAAUCCCGGGGCUCAACCCCGGAACUGCCUCCAAAACUAUCGGUCUAGAGUUCGAGAGAGGUGAGUGGAAUUCCGAGUGUAGAGGUGAAAUUCGUAGAUAUUCGGAGGAACACCAGUGGCGAAGGCGGCUCACUGGCUCGAUACUGACGCUGAGGUGCGAAAGUGUGGGGAGC
rnacentral:rRNA from 1 species